UACGUAGGGGGCAAGCGUUGUCCGGAAUCAUUGGGCGUAAAGCGCGUGUAGGCGGCUGGGUAAGUCCGCUCUGAAAGCCCGGGGCUCAACCCCGGGAGGCGGGUGGAUACUGCUCAGCUCGAGUCCGGAAGAGGAGUGUGGAAUUCCUGGUGUAGCGGUGAAAUGCGCAGAUAUCAGGAAGAACACCUAUGGCGAAGGCAGCACUCUGGGACGGUACUGACGCUGAGACGCGAAAGCGUGGGGAGCGAACAGG
rnacentral:rRNA from 1 species